UAUGGUCUGUUCUUUGGUACAACAAUGAAAUGUUAAUAUGUUAUUCUCCUUUUAUGCUUUGUGUCAGUGCACUGUGGUAUGACGCCAACACUUAUUUGGCACCUACAUUGCAUCGACAAUUUGUCAGCUUACAGUUUGUACCAUCGAGAAUUUUCACGCUUUACACCUGCAGCUAUAUCGCUAUACUAUAAAUAUGUUUAGAUGUCUAAAAUGGUCUUGGUACUGAACCUGACUGAUAAUGUAUUUGGUGUAUCUUUUCUGUAGAAUUAGUACCAGAGUUCUAUUUGUAUUAUUAAUUGUGUAGAGCUGAUAAUUAGACCAUAGAGUCGUUGUUGAUUUGGUUUAUUCCUUGGCAGAUCAUUUAAGUACUUUAUCUUAUUACAAAAACUGAACGAAAAUAUAGCAGCAAUACAUUUCAUGACAUAGUGUUAUCCGUGCAAGAAAAUUGCUUGAUUGAUUAUUAAUAAAUGUAAGCAAUCUAUCAUGUAGGUUUUGUUCGAUCCUACACUUAAAGAAAAUCAUACUGAAGAUCUGAGCUUAAGUGUUCCAACAGCUGAAGCACCAGCUCAAGAUGAAGGGAAUCUCUUAAUAUGAUUGUAGAUCCAUUCCCGUAAAGUGCAGUUAGAAUAUGGAAUCCACCUCGAACUCGGUUUAAAAAACAGAAAGCAUAUGGAAUUUUGCUCUAUCAGUCUGCAGUUAUUUGGUUCAUCGUCGCGCCUCAAGUUUCCAACAGCGCCGUGGCUGUACACCGUCGACUUCGCCGGAAAUCCUUCUGCACAUACUCUACUGUCCGCCGAAACUUUGUCUGACCUGAGUUAUUUGGCUCAUCUUCACGCCUCAAGUUUCCGACAGCGCCGUGGCUGUACACCGCCGACUUCGCCGGAAAUCUGUCUGCACAUACUCUACUAUCCGCCGAAACUUCGUCUGACCUGAGAAAUAGAUGGCGACGGCUCAGCGGCGUCGUGGUGAAUGGCGAAGCUUCUCAAAUGGACGGAAGAGAGGUGGUGACGCGCGGCUGGGAGACGUACAUAUUUAACGAAAUACGAUUCAUAAGGUUUCAUAUUAACAAAAAAUGAUGGUCUUUGUAGAGUAAUAUGAACAUUUUGUUGAUUCCAGGACAACUUUAUUCUCCAAUACGAAUCUGUAAGAAAAGAUAUGACAUACAUUUGUGCAAAUUGAUAAUGUAAGC